rnacentral:rRNA from 1 species
ACGAACGCUGGCGGCGUGCUUAACGCAUGCAAGUCGAACGGUGAAGCGCCUUCCUUUUUGGUGGGUGUGGAUGAGUGGCGAACGGGUGAGUAACACGUGAGUAACCUGCCCCCUUCUUCUGGAUAACCGCAUGAAAGUGUGGCUAAUACGGGAUAUUCUGGGUCUGUCGCAUGAUGGGUCUGGGAAAGAUAUUGUUUCGGUGGGGGAUGGGCUCGCGGCCUAUCAGCUUGUUGGUGGGGUGAUGGCCUACCAAGGCGGUGACGGGUAGCCGGCCUGAGAGGGUGGACGGUCACACUGGGACUGAGACACGGCCCAGACUCCUACGGGAGGCAGCAGUGGGGAAUAUUGCACAAUGGGCGCAAGCCUGAUGCAGCGACGCCGCGUGAGGGAUGGAGGCCUUCGGGUUGUGAACCUCUUUCGCCAGUGAAGCAGGCCUGCCUCGUUUGUGGGUGGGUUGACGGUAGCUGGAUAAGAAGCGCCGGCUAACUACGUG